CAGUCGCCGCGGUAAUACGUAGGGCGCAAGCGUUGUCCGGAAUUAUUGGGCGUAAAGAGCUCGUAGGCGGUCUGUCGCGUCUGGUGUGAAAUCCCGAGGCUCAACCUCGGGCUUGCAUCGGGUACGGGCAGACUAGAGUGCGGUAGGGGAGACUGGAAUUCCUGGUGUAGCGGUGGAAUGCGCAGAUAUCAUGAGGAACACCGAUGGCGAAGGCAGGUCUCUGGGCCGCAACUGACGCUGAGGAGCGAAAGCAUGGGGAGCGAACAGGAUUAGAUACCCCAGUAGUCCCUGUCUCUUAUAC
rnacentral:rRNA from 1 species